CAUAAUGAGAACUGAAUCCCAGGAUCCUGGACACAAAGGAACUUGCUGUAUAAAAAGAAACACUUCUCCCAAAAGAAGACAACCAACCAUGAGGAAGGCAUGUUGUCGUCCACUGCAGUUUGAGCUCCAUUGCCUUCCUUCAGUAUACCCAGGAGAUAAUCUUUCUAUUCUGGCCAAUCUAAUAAUAUUGCUCAAAAGAUGUUAUCCUACCUUGACAUUCUUGCUGUGCCAGGAGUGUAAACCUUGACUUCUACAUAGUGGGCGUGUUGUGAUAUCAGCAGAUGGAGCAGAGUCGUGCCCUGUGAGUACCACUACGCUUUCCACUGCAGUAAGCGCUGAUUGGUUACGGGAACCACUUCAGCCAUCCGGCAGUUACUUAAAAGCAUCCCACGUAAAGCCAUUCUAAAGCUGAUGUAAAAAGGACCAAACCGUGAACCAUCCAGGUCAGAGGAAGCAAGGCCAGGCUACACUAACUCAAAGGCCAACCACCCACUCUCGCUUCUAUGGCAUUUUGUGGCCUUUGGUGUUUCGGACAAGUCUGCACUUAGAAGAGUUUUAAAGGACGUGACUUGUGGGUUAAAUUAUUUGAAAGGAGAAGCUAGAAGGUUUCAUAUCUUUCUAUUUUACUUGCACUUUUAAUCCAAAUAGCUACAAAAGCCUUUCUGAAAUCCAGGGUACCUUUGUGACAAGUUACUUGUGGAGAAUAAA